UACGGGGGGGGCAAGCGUUGUUCGGAAUUACUGGGCGUAAAGCGUGCGCAGGCGGUUUUGUAAGCCAGAUGUGAAAUCCCCGGGCUCAACCUGGGAAUGGCAUUUGGGACUGCAAGGCUUGAGUGCGGCAGAGGAGACUGGAAUUCCUGGUGUAGCAGUGAAAUGCGUAGAUAUCAGGAGGAACACCGGUGGCGAAGGCGGGUCUCUGGGCAGUGAACUGACGCUGGAGGAGCGAAAGCGUGGGGAGCGAACAGG
rnacentral:rRNA from 1 species